rnacentral:lncRNA from 1 species
AGGUAAUUUUCUAUGUCUCUUUCAACUCCAUUAUUUAUUUUUUAUCUAUUUCUUUCCAUUUUUGUUAGAGUUUGUCAUUUCUUCUCUUUUAUUUUGUGGGUUUUAUGUUUCUUUUCUUUAAUCUUUUAAGGUUUGUGUAAUUUUUUUAUUCCUUUUAUUUGUGCUUGUAAUGAAAUAUUUUUGUUUUAAUUCUUUAGGGUUUUAUUUUUAAUUUUGUGAGUUUUUAGUGAAGUUUAGGUUUGGUUAAAAUAAUCAUAAUGAGAUCAAUUUAUUGAUUUCUAAUAACUGUUUAGAUUGAGCCAUGUUAAUAAGUACACAAGAUGUUUAUUUAUAUUUAUAUAAAGUGAAUGUAACAUUGUAUGGAAGAAUUGAAGCAUGCAGGGGCAAUAGGAACCAUAUUUGAUAUUGUAUGAUUGACUGUUAAAUUGGUGGGAUGGAUCAAAUUCAUU